GCAGUGGUAGUUCAGUGGUAGAAUUCUCGCCUUCCACGUGGGAGACCCAGGUUCGAUUCCCAGCCAAUGCA
rnacentral:tRNA from 1 species